rnacentral:lncRNA from 1 species
AUGUGCUGUCCUGGUUGCUAGGUGCAGAUUUAGGUUCCAAGCAGAACACUCCUAGUGUUCUCUGCAGUUUGUUGCAGAAUCAGAAUGUCUUGGCAACCAAAGGCAGAUCUGGUGCUAUGGAGGACCUGCUUACUGCUAUGAGGUGUUACUUUAUACAGGUCCUGGAGAAGCUGAUUGAGGCCAAGUCACUGUUGCAAGGAGACACGAGACUCACAUCAGAGUUCUAUGGCUUAACAUGGGAGAUGGUGGUUCAGCUAAUUCUGUAAUUGCUUCACAUACAUACGAGUUGAACAAAAAUGUUUAAAGAUGAACUGUGGUAUCCAGGUUUCUCCCUGUUGGUAUAAGAAGUUACGGAGAAGCAAGAAAGGAAGGCCAGAAUGACAUUAGGGACUGUGUUAGAGUCAGAGUUAUCACUAUGACCUCAUGUUUAAACACAAGCACAAAUACACACGGACACACACACAGAUGGACAAAUAUUGAAACAAUGACAGAUACAUGUGUGUUCAGAGCUUACUGUGUAGACACACAUUGCCUAGCCUUUUCUGGUGAAAUAGCCUAGAAACAAUGUUACCCUCAUAGCAAUGUGUACAUGUCCCAUUCAGAUAAUGUUUUCUAAUGCCAUUUUCCAGUGAAAAGAACCAGAGAUCCUUAGGGCAAUGUCUGAUUCUAAGAUAUUUCUAAGGCUGAUGAAAAAAAUAUGUAAGAGAAGCCUGGAGAAGAACCAGUAAUACCAGAAAUCAAGGAGGGGCCCUGAAGAGAAAAGGAUAACAAAAGGAUGAAGACCUGUCCAAGGGACCCAGCAGCCAGCUUGAAAGAGCUCUCAAUGGGGAAAGCUGGAGCACUUUCAACAACAAAAUAAAUAAAAUAUCACUGGAUUAUAACCUGAAGUAUAAAAAGUAACUGUCCAUACUGUUACAAAUAAAUGACUGAAUAAAUACGUAAACGGAGAAGAAGAGAGAAAUCUUCCUUACUAGUCUAUUAAUAGUCCCCACUUUCCGGGGUGGAGCUCAUGAUCUCCUUCACUAAGUGUAGGUUGGACUCAGUGACUGUCUUCCAAGGAAUAGAGUAUGGAAAGGUAACAACUGUAAGUUUAAGUUUUAUUUAGUGCAAACACUACCUUCAGCAAGUGAUUAAAGUCAGCACAUCAGUGAUGCCAUGUAGAUAUUAUGUAAC